rnacentral:rRNA from 1 species
GGGAUGAGCUUGCGUCCGAUUAGCUAGUUGGCGGGCAACGGCCCACCAAGGCGACGAUCGGUAGCCGGCCUGAGAGGGCGAUCGGCCACAUUGGGACUGAGAUACGGCCCAGACUCUACGGGAGGCAGCAGUAGGGAAUAUUGCACAAUGGGGGGAACCCUGAUGCAGCAACGCCACGUGUGGGAAGAAGCAUUUCGGUGUGUAAACCACUGUCGUGAGGGAAUAAUGCUUGAUUUCGGUCAAGUUGAAUGUACCUCGAAAGGAAGCACCGGCAAACUUCGUGCCAGCAGCCGCGGUAAUACGAGGGGUGCAAGCGUUGUUCGGAAUCACUGGGCGUAAAGGGAGCGUAGGCGGAGACGCAAGCAGUCUGUACAAUACCGGGGCCCAACCCCGGACCUGCAGACUGGACUGUGUCUCUUGGAUAGUUCAGGGGCAGGCGGAAUUCCUGGUGUAGCGGUGGAAUGCGUAGAGAUCAGGAAGAACACCGAUGGCGAAGGCAGCCUGCUGGGGACUCAUCGACGCUGAGGCUCGAAAGUGCGGGUAGCAAACAGGAUUAGAUACCCUGGUAGUCC